rnacentral:rRNA from 1 species
AACGAACGCUGGCGGCGCGCCUAACACAUGCAAGUCGAACGAGAAUCCGGGGCAACCCGGUAGUAAAGUGGCAAACGGGUGAGGAAUACAUGGGUAACCUACCCUUGAGAAGGGAAUAACCCGCCGAAAGGUGAGCUAAUACCCUAUACGCUAUCUUUUUUUCGAAAAGGAUAGGAAAGCCGGGUUGAGGACCUGGUACUCAAGGAGGGGCUCAUGUCCUAUCAGCUUGUUGGUGGGGUAACGGCCUACCAAGGCUACGACGGGUAGCUGGUCUGAGAGGAUGAUCAGCCACACUGGCACUGAGAUACGGGCCAGACUCCUACGGGAGGCAGCAGUGAGGAAUAUUGCGCAAUGGGGCGAAAGCCUGACGCAGCGACGCCGCGUGGGGGAUGAAGGUUUUCGGAUUGUAAACCCUUUCAUGGGAAGAUAAAGUGGGUAACCACUUAGACGGUACCUCAAGAAGAAGCCACGGCUAACUUCGUG